UACGGGGGGGGCAAGCGUUACUCGGAAUUAUUGGGCGUAAAGGGCGCGUAGGCGGUCGUGUGCGUCGGAGGUGAAAUCCCCGGGCUUAACCCGGGAGCUGCCUCCGAUACGGCAUGGCUUGAGUCCGGGAGAGGGGAGCAGAAUGCCCAGUGUAGCGGUGAAAUGCGUAGAUAUUGGGAGGAAUACCGGUGGCGAAGGCGGCUCCCUGGACCGGUACUGACGCUGAGGCGCGAAAGCUAGGGGAGCAAACGGG
rnacentral:rRNA from 1 species